GCCCUUAUAACUCAAUGGUAGAGCUCCGGCCCGUCAAGCCAAAGGUCAGUGGUUCAAUCCCCGUCCGGGACA
rnacentral:tRNA from 1 species